CUCAAAUAGACAUCCUUAACUUACAAUUCAUUGAUUUUUUUUACCUACUUGUUGAAGUUAAUUGUUUCAGAAACUUCAAUCUUGGCUUCAACUUCCAAAUGGAAACUGGGAGCUUGUGAAGAUAGUGUCAACUUCAGGGAAAGAAUCAAUUGUUUCACUGCCUGAGGGAAAAGUUCAAAAGGUGAAAUCUGAAAGUUUGAUUUCGGCAAAUCCCGAUAUCCUUGAUGGUGUCGAUGAUCUCAUGCAACUUAGCUAUUUGAAUGAACCGGCAGUAUUGUACAAUCUCCAGUAUAGAUACAAGCAAGAUACAAUUUAUACCCAAGCAGGACCUGUGUUGGUUGCUAGCAAUCCCUUCAAGUAAGUUCCUUUAUAUGGAAAUGACUAUAUGGGGGCAUAUAAGAACAAAUCUAUUGAGAGCCCGCAUGUGUAUGCUAUUACAGAUACAGCCAUCCGAGAAAUGACACGAGGUGCAUUUUGUGUUGAAUAGUAUUGGAUUGAGCGGUCCUGUAUUAGCAAUUGUUCUCUCUCUCUGGUAUACUAAUUCUGUCUUGUUUUCUUUUCCCUGAUGAAAGUAAAUCAAUCGAUCAUCAUAAGCGGUGAAAGUGGAGCAGGAAAAACUGAGACAGCAAAAAUAGCGAUGCAAUAUUUAGCUGCUCUUGGUGGUGGCAGUGGGAUAGAAUAUGAAAUAUUGAAGACUAAUUCAAUCUUAGAAGCAUUUGGUAAUGCCAAAACAUCGAGAAAUGACAACUCAAGUCACUUUGGAAAGCUGAUAGAAAACAAAAUGGAAGUGGUGAUGA